CCUCGGGAGGCAGCAGUGGGGAAUAUUGGACAAUGGGCGGAAGCCUGAUCCAGCCAUGCCGCGUGUGUGAAGAAGGCCUUUUGGUUGUAAAGCACUUUAAGCGAGGAGGAGGCUACUAGUACUAAUACUACUGGAUAGUGGACGUUACUCGCAGAAUAAGCACCGGCUAACUCUGUGCCAGCAGCCGCGGUAAUACAGAGGGUGCGAGCGUUAAUCGGAUUUACUGGGCGUAAAGCGUGCGUAGGCGGCUUUUAAGUCGGAUGUGAGAUCCCCGAGCUUAACUUGGGAAUUGCAUUCGAUACUGGGAAGCUAGAGUAUGGGAGAGGAUGGUAGAAUUCCAGGUGUAGCGGUGAAAUGCGUAGAGAUCUGGAGGAAUACCGAUGGCGAAGGCAGCCAUCUGGCCUAAUACUGACGCUGAGGUACGAAAGCAUGGGGAGCAAACAGGAUUAGAUACCCUGGUAGUCCAUGCCGUAAACGAUGUCUACUAGCCGUUGGGGCCUUUGAGGCUUUUAGGUGGCGCGNGACGACGACGAGUAAGGUAGUACCGCCGUUCGGGGUAGGGUUACGGGUUCGGCGAAGACGUUAAACCGUAACGAAGAAGUUAGUUAGGACGGNGAGAGAGCGACGACGGACGACGACGGAGGAGGAG
rnacentral:rRNA from 1 species